UGAAGAACGAACGUUGUCCGCUGCGGUCUCUACCGUCUUCCUUCAGGCUGAGAGACUGCGUCCUGGACGGGGUCUCACUCUCUCGAACAGUUUGCUUCUGUGGGGCCUCGAAGAGAAAAGCAAAAGACAUUCGCGCACUGGGCCUCUCCUGAACCGUCCUCCUCCGAGGCGUGUGGAAAGAGGAAGACUUGUGGAAAGUUUCAGAAAAGUAUGUACCGGAGUUUUGUUGUCGAAAUCCAUGGCUGUAUGGUCCCAACACCUGGGUUCAAGCGGUCUCCGCACCACGUCUCGGAGCUCCACCGUGGGUUCUCCUGGUCUCGCCGCCAGCCGUC